rnacentral:misc_RNA from 1 species
GAUAAGAACGUAGCGAAAUGCGAUACUUGGUGUGAAUUGCAGAAUCCCGCGAAUCAUCGAGUUUUUGAACGCAAGUUGCGCCCGAAGCCAUUCGGCCGAGGGCACGUCUGCCUGGGUGUCACGCAUCGUUGCCCCCCCAAACUCCGGUUCGGGCGGGGCGGAAGUUGGCCUCCCGUGCGUGCCUGCGCGCGCGGUUAGCCCAAAAGCGAGUCCUCGGCGACGAGCGCCACGACAAUCGGUGGUUUUUUUACCCUCGUUCCUCGUCGUGCGUGUCCCGUCGCCCGAACGCGCUCUUGCGACCCUCACGCGUCGCCUCGGCGGCGCUCCCAACGCGACCCCAGGUCAGGCGGGACUACCCGCUGAGUUUAAGCAUAUCAAUAAGCGGAGGA